GCUGAAGCAGGAGGGAGACUCAUAUCAAAGUCAAACCCACUCCACCACUCUGCACAUCCAGAUAAAAGGUGUGCACUGUCGAUACGCCCCCGCUGAUCGAUCACCACCACCUUAAAACAGCGUGCAGACAGAACGCAGCUACAGUCCUGAUAUACUGCGAACAAAUCAGAGACAUGGAGUCUGACCAAAAAGUGUGGAGGCAUCGAAGGAUCCCCAACCUGCAGACGCAGAGGUGCAGACCAUCUGUGACUCUGUGAAGAGUGAAGUGGAGAAGCUCACAGGAGAGAAUUAUAAGAUUUUCAGAGCCUUAUCCUACAAGAAACAACUUGUAGCUGGAAUGAACUACUUCAUCGAGGUCUUCAUUGGGGGGGACAAAUAUCUGGAGGUGGAUGUGUUUGUGGGGCUGCCUCACAUCAGCACUGGACCAGUCGUCACCGGUGUUGGGAGAUCCAAGAAAGAAAGAGUCUGAGCAUCU